rnacentral:lncRNA from 1 species
AUGCAAAAGCUAUUGUGCUGAGAGCUAAGAAACCCUACACUUCCACUCUCAAUGCUAGUGUGUUAAAAGAGAUUUUAGUAAUGGCAAAGCCAGUCAACAGGGAAUCAGUUCAGAUGAAAUGCAAUGAAAAAGCUCGUUGACCUCUAAAACAAUAGGUGGGGCCUACUCGAAUAAUAAAAUCAACACAAAGUCAACAAUUAAACAAGAAUGUAACAAUA